CUCUUCUGGUCGCUGGUGUGGUUGUGGGAUUGAGUGUUUGCCUGUUGUUCUUCCUCUCACUGCUGCUGAUGUGGAGAUACAAGAAGAACAAAGAUCAGCAGCGUAACAUUAACCAGACAUCAGUCCCAAAUCAAUCUGCACAAUCUCAACUGGAAAACUAUCCUCUACAGUCUGCAGGUUAUGAUCACAUUUAUGACGACGUGACUGAAGUGAAUAAGAGAGACAGAGAUGAUCCAGAGCCCUUGGUAGAGGUCACAUAUUCAGAGGUCACUGUUAAGAAAAAGAUGGACAAAGGUAAUACUAAGGCAGAGUCAAAUAAUGUGACAUACUCAGAAGUCAGAACAAAAGGAAAGAAAUGCAAAAAUAAAGAUAUUAAUACUGCAGGAACCAGUGAUUUGACUUACGCACAGAUCAAUAUACAAGACAAAAAGAACACCAAAGGCAAAGGAAAGAGCAGUGAGUCUGGAGACACUUUGUACUCUGAACUGAACCACAACAGAGAUAGAGAUGCUGAUGCUGGAGUUGGUGAUGCAACUUAUGCUCUAGCUUUUUGGAAGAAGAAUAAAACACGUCCCUGAGUGCAGAGAAGACAACAGACGGCUAAAAGAGAUUCACACCAGCAGACACAGUAACGCUUGCAUUGCUUAAGAAAUGUGAACUGCUUAUGCACAUGCUUGACUGAAAGACUUUACAGAUACUUAUGCACUGUAUUAUCUGUACAAUUGCAAACAAAUCUAUCUAUAACAUAUAGUAAAACAUUUUUACCAGUGAGCACUCAUGUUUAACACAAUUCAGUGUUAACUGCCCUAAAAGUUAUUACAUUAUUAUAUUG
rnacentral:lncRNA from 1 species